GCGGUAGCAUGAGCGUCCGGUCUCAAGCAGCGAGUGAAAAGGGAAUCCAGUGCAAAUCUGGAGCUGACGCGCAGCGGUAUGGGGAAGUCACGGCGAUAGCGUUUUAAUCUUGAGUUGAUGCUCGGGUUUAUUCAAGGUGCAGAUAGCGGCAAUAGUGUAACAAGUCGGCCAGCAUAACGGCUCUGCAGCCUAAAAAACCAAGGGUAUAUCAGGUUUAAACAACAUAGACACUGUCCACUGCUGGAUGGGAAGUCAUCGCCCGGUGCGGGUUGCUAAUGGCAAUCAGCAAAUCCCAAGCCCGAAAACCUGCCGGUGUACGUCGCAAUAU
rnacentral:ncRNA from 2 species